rnacentral:rRNA from 1 species
GACGUAGGGCGCGAGCGUUUGUCCGGAUUUAUUGGGCGUAAAGAGCUCGUAGGCGGCUUGUCGCGUCGUUUCGUGAAAACCCACAGCUCAACUGUGGGCUUGCGGUCGAUACGGGCAGGCUAGAGUUCGGUAGGGGAGACUGGAAUUCCUGGUGUAGCGGUGAAAUGCGCAGAUAUCAGGAGGAACACCGGUGGCGAAGGCGGGUCUCUGGGCCGAUACUGACGCUGGAGGAGCGAAAAGCG